GUAGCAGCGAGGGUUUGGGUUCGGAUCGCAAGAUAGUUAUUGAUCAGGAAACGACGCCGUCCAUGUGGUUGGACGAGAAAUUGAUUCCCUCUUACAGAAUCUCAUCCUUGCUGCCCAAUCCGAAUGAGAAGAGGCGGUUUCAUCGAGGAGACCAAGUUUAAUCUGCUCUCGAAUUAUCGAGCUCCUAGUUUUUCUUCUUCAGCGGACAUGAUCAAUUUGUUUUCUCGAUGAGGUCGAAGACGAAGGCGCAGUAUUGGAUGGGUUCUGCUUUUUUGAUCAUAUCAUAUCCAGAUAGAUAAGAUUUAUCUUACCUUCUCAGCAAGAUUUGAUAUGAAGAUCUGACAUGAUUAAAAUUUUCUGAUUACUUGAUAUCUGGACGUCCAAACACAACUCCUCAUUAGAUAAGAGAUAAUUAAUCUUGUCCAGGUAUCAUCUCCAAGCAAACAAACGCGACAUUAUGGACUCAGAACUAGAGAGGAUAGGAUUAUAAGAAAACAAAGUAGCAUGGUUAACUAACUAGUAUCAAAUAAAAAAUGCUCUCUCUUUCUCUCUCGAGAGGAACCCUAAGGCCGCAACCGGCCUUGAUCGGCGGCGGCGCUGCAAAUUUCUUGACUCUCGACAGAGAGGUUUCGUGGCUACGUAGUGGCUCGGUAAUUUGGAUUUGGAAGGGUGGCGACGCUUCUCUUUCUUCUCCCCUACUUGGCGACGACGGCAAUUGGCUUCGACCGUGUCCCAUGAUGUUAGGUUUGGAUCGGGUUUGUCCUUUUGGUGGAUCGAAGCAGCCUCUGAUGGCGGUUAGCUUCGCUAUGAAGGCGCGAGACUUCUCGUCUUCAAUCUCAUCAGUGUUAGGUGAAGCUGGGCCUUUUGCUUUGGGCGAUGUCGGAUGGGGACUCGAUGAUGGCAGGGCUGCUCUAGUCUAUCUGGGUUCAGAUCCGAUCGGGUACACCUUGGCUUCUGUCUCUGGGAACAUCGGCUUGGAUUUGGUGCGUUGCCCCGGUGGUUGGAUCGAUGGGACCGGCGACCAUAUGAUUGGUUUUCAGCCUUGGUCUGGGGGCGAUAGCGAUUCUUGGUUGGAUUUGUUUCUCUUGAUGUCAAGGCAGGCGGCGGCGGUACAGUGACAGUGCUGAGCCAGAAGCAACUGUUGCAAGAUGGCAACGAUACCUUGGCAUGAAGGCCACAUAUCAUAGGUUGUUUCAGCUCAAUGUCUUUGAUUGGCGCGACUUUCGUAAAGGAAAGAAACUAGAUAAGGCAUGGGAUAUCAGGAGAACUCUUGAUUGGUCGAACCCCGAAACUCAAAAGAAGAGUGGGAGGAUAAGGUUUGUGGUCGAGAGGAAGUUGAAUGAUCGUUGGAAGACAUUUAAGGUGAAACUCCAGAAAGUAUGGUAUACCCCAAAUGUUGGCACUGAAGAGCGUUUUAAAUGCAAAGAUGGGAGCUAGGGUAAGCAAAAAGCAAUGGGUUGCACUAGUUAACCAUUGGGAAGAUAAAAAGGAACAUGUAUGUCUAUGGGAUGCAUAAUGUUUUGAUAUGGCUGUGUGAUAUUCGUCUUAAAACAUGAACUUUACUGCCAUAACUGUGCGCACUAGAAGCAAGGAUUGAAUAUAUCUAUGUUUAAUGAAAUCAGCAAAAGUAUGGGGUAGUUUAUAAUUUACCUUACUGUAACAUAUUGAACCUUGAUGCAGUGGCGUUCUAUUGUGAACAAGCAGAAUCGGGCAAAGCGUAUGAUGAUGCACACAACUGGCACAAAGACAUUUGCAGAGAUCAGGAACAAAUAUAAAAAAAAAAUGGAGGUGUAAACCCAGACCGUUGCACAAUGUUUGAGCUUACCCAUGUCCACGACUCUGAAAAACCUGAUGAACCACAUUCUAAACAAGCUAUUGUAAGCAUCAAAUAUGACUUCUUGACAUAUUAUUUUCAAGUUCUUAAGCGUACUCAGCAUUGAUAUUGUACUUACUGUACCACAGUGCUCUGAAGAACUGCAGCAGCAAGUAAAUUACUUUAUAUCUUAUCAUGUGUGAUGUUUUGUACUAUACUAUACUUUUCGAUGUUAUAUGCUUUUUCUUGCUAUGGACUUCACAUGAUUAGUUUUAGUAAUAAGAGCUUCUUUCUUCAUUAGUUCCACUGGGUAAUUUUGUUGGACAAUAUGAACUACAUUAGUAUACAAAAAGCUUCCCAGAAACUUACUAAUAUAAUCAUAUAUGUCAAUGUAAAAGAUAACAUAUGACUAAGUAAACUUGCAACUGUAUGAUAAUGCCUACAUAUUUUAGUAAGUUUAUUGGAUGCUACCUUUGGUCAUGAAGCAUGAAUGACCUAGCAUUCUGAGACAACUUUAUUGAUUGCAGUUAAGUUAUAGAACUGUGGUAUAUAUAUUCUCAUGCUAAAACAUGUCAAUGAUCCAUAUAGAGAAUUAACCAAGAAGUAGAAAGAUUUGUAUUGAAUUUGUGCCAGCCUCCAUAUGUUUGCAAUUGGAAUUUGGGUAAGCUCACAUCUCUUAUUGUAAGUGUCACUUAAUAUUUGACUAACAGCUUUGUUCGUGUAUCAUCUUCAUACCUUAUGUUUAUAGACAGAUUUUGCAGGAGUUGGAGUUGUUGGAGCCUUAACGUGAAGUUGUAGUCAUAAGCCAUUUAGUUCAACAGGGGCUUAAUUUAGACAAGUAUAGAUGUACUGAUGUAUUCCAAUUAGUAUAGGAGGAUAAAUUCUUAUUAGUACAAGGCAUGUACCCAAAUUUUAGUAUUAAGAGACUACUGUAGUAUUUUU